ACUAACUCCCUCUCUGGAUAUCUGGAACAAGGAGGACCUUAAACUUAACAAUAAAGCCAAUGAUGGUUCUACCAGUCUCCCCAAAGCCUCAAGUUUAAAAGCCAUAUGAACUGGCUGAUAGUGGAAAAUGGAAGCCAUGAGGUUGAAAAGUGAAUCCUCAAAGGAAAAAUGGAAACUACUCUUGAACUUGUUGGGAUUUGAAAUUUCCUCAGGAAAUCAGAUUAGAGUACUACCUGGUGAAGCCUGGAGGACCUACCAAGAAAAGCAAACUUGGAUCUUUGCAAGGUUAGAAGAACGAAUGGGAUCCAAGAAAAAGACUGGUCAUAUUCAACGGCUAAGAGCGUUGGAGAAGGCCUGUGGAGUCUCAGCAGGUCAGGUCCAUGACUCAUGAGUAGACACCUGUGUUUCUACUGCCUGGUGCCAUAAUCAUAAACAAGGAAGAAACUGAGGACAGGAGGGGCCAAACAAGUUACAGUUUCAUCCCUCCAGAGAGCCAACAGAGUAUUUUGCACGAAGUUGAAGCUAAACAGGUAUUAUGUCCUAUCUCUGGACUGAAUGACUAGAUGCUACUCAGCUUCUGAACUAGAGGAAGCCUGGGACCUUGACCGCACUAAUGCUGAUGACAGCGGAUUUGCAAGUGGCUAGAGGAAAGAGGAACGAGGAUGGAUUCGAUAAGGUGCAACAAGUCCUGAACACACACAGAGAACUGGCUGUGAAUCCUGUUUCUGCCACUCACCACUUACUUGUUGUAAUCAGCAAAUGCCUUUCCUUUCUCCUGCUGAUGUUUUGCCCGUACUCAGACCCCUUGACUUCUUAGCUUCUACCCAAAGUGAGCUUGUCAUCAAAGUUCUCCAAAAAUCUGCAGUGUUCUCUUGAGCAAAUCUGGUUCCAAGACUAUAGCGCUCUGAUGCAUUGAGAUGACAGCAAGCGGCAUUUUUCAGUCCUGUUACCCAUAUGGCUGCUACCACUGCAUCCUGUUAAAUAAUGUCUUCAACCCAAGAAACCUGCUUCCUAGGGAAGUUUCUCUC
rnacentral:lncRNA from 1 species